rnacentral:rRNA from 1 species
CACGUAGGGGGCGAGCGUUGUCCGGAUUUAUUGGGCGUAAAGAGCUCGUAGGCGGUUUCGUAAGUCGGAUGUGAAAACUCCAGGCUCAACUUGGAGACGCCAUUCGAUACUGCGAUGACUUGAGUCCGGUAGGGGAGUGUGGAAUUCCUGGUGUAGCGGUGAAAUGCGCAGAUAUCAGGAGGAACACCGGUGGCGAAGGCGCCACUCUGGGCCGAAACUGACGCUGAGGAGCGAAAGCGUGGGUAGCAAACAGG